CAGCAGCCACGGUAAUACGAAGGGGGCUAGCGUUGUUCGGAAUUACUGGGCGUAAAGCGCACGCAGGCGGCUCGAUAAAUUAGAAGUGAAAGCCUUGGGCUUAACCUGAGAAUUGCUUUUAAGACUGUCGAGCUAGAAUCCAGAAGAGGGUAGUGGAAUUCCGAGUGUAGAGGUGAAAUUCGUAGAUAUUCGGAAGAACACCAGUGGCGAAGGCGACUACCUGGUCUGGCAUUGACGCUCAUGUGCGAAAGCGUGGGGAGCAAACAGGAUUAGAUACCCGCGUAGUCCCUGUCUCUUAUAC
rnacentral:rRNA from 1 species